AACUAUUACUAAGAAGCAAACUAUAGCUUUUUUAAAUGACUCUUUUUUUUUUUAAAUGAAAUGAAAGUUUCACGGUCAAGAGAGACCAAAGUGACCUAGUGAUUUUGAGCUUCAUAGAAAUGUAGGUCAGUAAGCUUGUAUGAUUUUAGCCAGAAUGUCUCUGUUUCACUGUUUCAGAAUAGUCUUGCAUUUUAGUACAUUUGGCCAAACUCUCUAUGCUUGCAAAGUAGAACUUUUCAGAUUUUUUCCCUAGCCAAGGACUCAGUGGAUACCUUCAGUUGUAACUCAUCUGUAAAUGUCAUACACGAAAUGUCUCAUUGGAUGGUGUUCACUGGAGAGCCAGGGUCUGGUCAUGUGGUACAGUUCAGACUCGGCUGUAGCUCUUACCCCACCAAUCACAGUCCCUCUGUGAGGAUGAAUAAGUCAAACUGACUGCUUAGAAUUCAUUCUGAAACCUGUUCCGACAUCUCUGUGGUGUAAACGAGCCUGCGUGGUUUUGGGAGUUUUCAUCAUUUGAAGGUUAAAAAAGGGUAUAGAGAAUGUGAGGCAUUUCUGUUAAAAGAGUCUUCAGUGCAGCUGAAACGCUGUGUGGAAUAUCACAGCCUCCUGAUUUAAGCACUGCAACAGAAUAGCUUCUAGCUUCAGUAUUUUGUAUUCCGUAUUUCAGCUUGAAGAAGUUAAAUGCUUGACCCUUAUUAACCAUUUUUAAAACGACAGUUCCAUUUUGUUACAUGUUAAGGAAAAUAUGAAAAGAACAAUUUACAUCUUAGUGCAAGAGGUGGCAGGUUUCAGAAUAUUUUCAGUCUUAUCUGUACUGAGUGUUCAAGCAUUGGAUGAGGUUAUGAACUGAACCUGUACCGCAGCAUAAAUAUAAACCAGUUAGCAUUUCUCACUGAGAACAUUCACAUGUAUAAAACGUCUGAAGCUGAACCUCAGUGAGAGCCUCCUUAGUGUUCUCCUUAGUUUCUAGCUGAAAGUGCCUUGUGCAGUGAUAGCGAUACUCUCUGAUCCAGUCGAAUUAAAAGCUGUAAAGUGACCUGGGCUGGUUAGAUCCUUGCUUAAGUGGGUUAAUCCUAAAAGCCUGCAUCAUGGAAAGGCAGGAGCCAAACCGCACGUCAGGAGUGAUGCUCAGAACGAGAUCUGACUCAAAGCCGUUCCAGUCCCCUCCAUGGGCUCAGUGUGUGUUUGCAGAGUGUCUUCUGGAGAGAUGCCCACUCUGUGUGGAUGGGGGAGUUUGCCAGCUCCACAGGUAACAUGAAAAGCGAUUUGGGUGUCAGUCAAGCUUUUAAGGAGCCUGGUAAUAAGGUGUGAGAGUGGAUAAGCAUUUUACACACAUUAGGGGUGAUUAUCUGUCAUACAGCAGAGGCCUUUUCAGCAGGAGACUGGAACGACCAGAGAUGAACAUCAGACAUAUAAUGAGUCAGCACCAGAGCCAGUGCCUGAAAUGAAUCUCCUGGUAAUAGAUACUUUACCUUAGUCUCUGAAUUUAUGUUCUUUGUCUCAUAUAAGGUUUAAUCAUAACAGUGGCUUGUUUUCCAGCUGCUUUUAUCAGACAUUUGUAUUGAAAUUAAAAAAAAAACAGGAUACAGAUACUUGGCCAAUUGUGAGACAAAGCAAGGACACCAAAAUUAACUUAUGAAUAAAUCUGUAACACUGACACUGUUCCUAACAGGAAUGUGUUGUCUGAGCUUCUACAUUCCGUGCAUUUUCAAUUCUGUGGAGCUUGAGCCUCAAGUGACAUCCACAGGGUGAAACCAGUCUCCUCCCACUUUAGUUUACGGCCCCUCCUUCAGCAGACACGGAGUGAUGCAUCAAACAUGCUUCUAAAAGAAGCUGAAUUUUCGGUUAAUACCAGGUACAUCCAGUAGGUGGCAGUUUUGUGUCCUCUUGCUUGGAGACCUCUUGGAAUUCAUGGAGCUCUGGGGACUUCCAGAAAAUGUGGCCCUCUGCUUCUUCUUUUUUUUCCCCCUAGAAAAUGUUUGUCCAGUCUAUUUCUGGGAUACCCUGGAGAGAUAUUUAAGUCAAGGUCAUCACAUCUCUUCCUGUCUGCAUUUCUGUUUGUAGUAGCAUUACACAAUGACUAAGUGUAACUCGGCUAAUUCUCAAAUGAGCAUCACAACAGGAGCGGCCAUGUCUAUCAUCACAGUUCACCUAGGUGAAGGCCACUGGUGUGAUGACGACAGAGGUCAAAUAUUCCUCCAAGGAGUGACCACUUUUAACAGCUCUUGCCGGAUAAGAACAUAAGGUUAAAAAGUGAGACUUGAAAAUUCAGCCCAGUUUGCUCAUUAUUUUGUGAGUUACGUCUUGAUCGGAGCAUCCAGACGCCCUGUGUCUUGAGAGAUCUCAGUGAAUCAGCUUCAGUCGUGGCUCAGCAACUUGUUUCUGACACCCACCACCCUUUGUGUAAAAAUAGCCUCCUGUUUUCUGCCCUGGGUACGAUUGUGCACAACAGAUUAUCGUACGUGGUGGUAAUAAUACAUUAUUGUUUGCUAUUUCAGGUCUUUUCCUCUCUUGUUUUUGUAUUUCAAUUCACUGUGCUCCUACAAUAAUUCUAAAACACUGGUUGCAUUGUCUGCAGUAGUGUACCCUUCAGGCAUGUGUGUUUACUGCAUGAAAGAAGAUGUAACCUCCAACUGUGAUGAUGGCUAUUUUCAGGUGGAUCUUGACACUGUAGCAUUUAAAAGGAAAACAGCUGGCAAUUACAGCCCUGGCCUGUUGUGUUCAUGGAAAAGCUUCUCCGAAAGAAACCGCAGCUCUGACAUCUGGAUACCGGGUGGCAGUGCUUAUAGAAGUAAUGUCCCACAAGAAAAUAAGGAGGUAAAAGAAACAAUUGCACACAAAAACAAUAAAGCCUGCGGAGUGAUGGCUCUUGAGUGAUCUGAAGGAAACUGAUCGUUUCUGGUGAUGGGCGGUCUCCCUCUUCUGCUCUCCUGCAGUGACAGAGGGUGUAGUGAGACGGGCACUUGCAGAUCAGCGCAAACACAAGCCCAGAUCACAGAAGAGCCUCAUCCUGCCUGCACAAUGUCAUUCUUAUUUUUAAUUAGCAUUCCUUGUGUUUACUGACAUGCAGAAGUAUUUGUCCCAGACCUCCUCCUUUCUUGCUGUCUCUCUGGUGUCCUCCUCCACCACGGCCCUGCCCUCCUCUGAAUCGCUCUGCGUUGGCUGUUUGUUUCCCCUCGUGGGGACACUCUUGGGGUAAUGCUGUCCUGUGCGUUACACUUGUCCUGUCCCCCAUGUCCCCUCACCAGUGCUGCUCCUGUGGGCGGCUAGGACACCCUCAAGUACUGUCAGAACAAAAGCUGAAAAAAAGGCUGCAAACCAUAUCUCCCAGAUGUCCAUGGAGAACCGCACUACAAGAUCCAUGAGGCAGGUUCUUCUCAGCUCUGUUCUUGGAGAGCCCAGUGUCUGAUAUGUUUCACAUUUCUAAAGUGGAUGAAAAAAGCAGAGCAGGCGCCUGCAGUGGCAUCACUGAAGGACUGGCCACUCCGCCCACUGUCACCGACCUCCUGUAAAGCACCAGGGAACUUUCCAUGUGUCAGAAGAUGAAUGAUCCGGCAUCAGAGGCACAUGUCUGCACAUCUUCAUUGUUCCAGCGCAGCACAGAGGGCUUAAACUUUAAAACAGCUGUCAGUUCCAAACUGGCCUGGUGCUCUUGCUAUUCUUGGCUCAGCACUGUGAGAUGGAAGCCCGGAAGCCCGCCUGCCAGCAGGUCCAGGAGAGACCCGACGCCAUAGGCUUCGUCACGGCGUCCUGAC